UACAGAGGUCUCAAGCGUUGUUCGGAUUCAUUGGGCGUAAAGGGUGUGUAGGUGGCGACGUAAGUCGGGUGUGAAAUUUCGGAGCUUAACUCCGAAACUGCAUUCGAUACUGCGGUGCUUGAGGACUGGAGAGGAGACUGGAAUUCAUGGUGUAGCAGUGAAAUGCGUAGAGAUCAUGAGGAAGACCAGUGGCGAAGGCGGGUCUCUGGACAGUUCCUGACACUGAGACACGAAGGCCAGGGGAGCAAACGGG
rnacentral:rRNA from 1 species